ACUCCUACGGGAGGCAGCAGUGGGGAAUUUUGCGCAAUGGGCGAAAGCCUGACGCAGCAACGCCGCGUGAGUGAUGAAGGCUUUCGGGUCGUAAAGCUCUGUCGAGGGGAAAGAAGUGUACUUUGGCUAAUAUCCAUUGUACUUGACGGUACCCCUAAAGGAAGCACCGGCUAACUCCGUGCCAGCAGCCGCGGUAAUACGGGGGGUGCAAGCGUUGUUCGGAAUUAUUGGGCGUAAAGCGCGUGUAGGCGGUCUGAUUAGUCUGAUGUGAAAGCCCUGGGCUCAACCCAGGAAGUGCAUUGGAUACUGUCAGACUUGAAUACGGGAGAGGGUAGUGGAAUUCCUAGUGUAGGAGUGAAAUCCGUAGAUAUUAGGAGGAACACCGGUGGCGAAGGCGGCUACCUGGACCGAUAUUGACGCUGAGACGCGAAAGCGUGGGUAGCAAACAGGAUUAGAUACCCUGGUAGUCCACGCCGUAAACGAUGAGAACUAGGUGUUGCGGGUA
rnacentral:rRNA from 1 species